rnacentral:rRNA from 1 species
GACGAACGCUGGCGGCGUGCUUAACACAUGCAAGUCGAACGGAAAGGCCCUGCUUUUGUGGGGUGCUCGAGUGGCGAACGGGUGAGUAACACGUGAGUAACCUGCCCUUGACUUUGGGAUAACUUCAGGAAACUGGGGCUAAUACCGGAUAGGAGCUCCUGCUGCAUGGUGGGGGUUGGAAAGUUUCGGCGGUUGGGGAUAGACUCGCGGCUUAUCAGCUUGUUGGUGGGGUAGUGGCUUACCAAGGCUAUGACGGGUAGCCGGCCUGGGAGGGUGACCGGGCACAUUGGGACUGAGAUACGGCCCAGACUCCUACGGGAGGCAGCAGUGGGGAAUAUUGCACAAUGGGCGGAAGCCUGAUGCAGCAACGCCGCGUGCGGGAUGACGGCCUUCGGGUUGUAAACCGCUUUCGCCUGUGACGAAGCGUGAGUGACGGUAAUGGGUAAAGAAGCACCGGCUAACUACGUG